GUCUACGACCAUACCAUCCUGGCUGCACUCCAUCUCAGAAGCUAAGCAGGGCUGGGCCUGGUUAGUAUUUGAUGGGAGAGAAAGAGAAUGGGCAUGCUAGGGC
rnacentral:rRNA from 1 species